AACGAACGCUGGCGGCAUGCCUAACACAUGCAAGUCGAACGAGACCUUCGGGUCUAGUGGCGCACGGGUGCGUAACGCGUGGGAACCUGCCCUUAGGUUCGGAAUAACUCCCCGAAAGGGGUGCUAAUACCGGAUAAUGUCUUCGGACCAAAGAUUUAUCGCCGUUGGAUGGGCCCGCGUUGGAUUAGCUAGUUGGUAGGGUAAAAGCCUACCAAGGCGGCGGUCCAUAGCUGGUCUGAGAGGAUGAUCAGCCACACUGGGACUGAGACACGGCCCAGACUCCUACGGGAGGGAGCCGUGGGGAAUAUUGGAAAAUGGGCGAAAGCCUGAUGCAGCAAUGCCGCGUGAGUGAUGAAGGCCUUAGGGUUGUAAAGCUCUUUUACCCGGGAUGAUAAUGACAGUACCGGGAGAAUAAGCACCGGCUAACUCCGUG
rnacentral:rRNA from 1 species